UGGGGAAUAUUGGACAAUGGGGGCAACCCUGAUCCAGCAAUGCCGCGUGUGUGAAGAAGGUCUUCGGAUUGUAAAGCACUUUCGACGGGGACGAUGAUGACGGUACCCGUAGAAGAAGCCCCGGCUAACUUCGUGCCAGCAGCCGCGGUAAUACGAAGGGGGCUAGCGUUGCUCGGAAUGACUGGGCGUAAAGGGCGUGUAGGCGGUUUACACAGUCAGAUGUGAAAAUCCCCGGGCUUAACCUGGGAGCUGCAUUU
rnacentral:rRNA from 1 species